UUGUAUCAUCACACCUUACUCCUGUCUCUUGCUGAUAUCGUAACUGAGGCUGGUGAACCAUGAAUACCAAGAGCAUUGUAUUCCUGCUGGUGCUGGUGAUCGUGGCCGUCACCGUUGUCAAUGGAAGCAUCAAGUAUCCCUGCCCACAAGUCAACGGGUUUUGUGUAAGUUUUUGUAGUUACGGACAAGAAAUAUCUACCGGCAUCUGCUACGGCAAUAAUAUAUGUUGCAGGGUAAAACAGCCUUACCACUAGUCCACAACAGUGGCCAGACCUGACGGACGCCACCAUGACCUAUAAGAAGACACCCUCAACUGUGUUUGGUGAUCAUCGACGAAACUUCUGUUUUCACAUGCGAUUCGAGAACUUGCUUUACCUAUGAUUUUUUUUAAGCAUUUGAAUUCUGCAACAACCUUUAUUUUCUUGUUCUUGCACAUUUUAAGAAAUGAUGGAGAAUAUUAGUAAAAUUUAAUUUAACUUGA